ACUGUGCUCCCAGCGUGUCUCAUGAAGCCCCCUGCACAGGUGGAGUUGCUGGUGAUGAAGGCACUCUCGGUGGGGCUGGUGAGAGGCAGCAUAGACGAGGUGGACAAGCGGGUUCACAUGACGUGGGUGCAGCCGCGAGUGCUGGAUUUGCAGCAGGUAAGGGGGCUGGGCCCCUGCCCUUUGCGGGUUUACCAAUGCUGUCCUAGUUUUAUGUGGACAGAAGCCAUUUAGGAAGCGGACGCUGUCGCACACAAGGUGGGAUUACUGCUGUGGAGGCCUAGCAAAGCAGCCCUCUGAGGUCUGCGCCCUGCACUUCCAGGCUGGCUGCGCUGCUGAUGCCUCCUAAUCCUGAAAUUGCUGCUCCAGCAGACGUGUUCCUGGUUUUGUGACUUGAUCCCAUGCCCUAUCAUGUUUCCCGGACAUUUAAUCCUGUGCUUUCCUCAUUCUUUUUUCUUUCAUGGGAGAUUUUAGAAUGUCCUCGUGAUCAGAUUUGGCACAGUGACUCCAUUACACACCUCCACCUUCAGCUCCAUUGCCCUUAGCUUUUCCCAGAAAAGAACUAGAGGCUCAGCCCUCCCAGACUCCCUUGCAGCUGAUACCCAUGUGAUCCCGAUUUGCCUUUAGAUCAAGGGGAUGAAGGACCGUCUGGAGCUUUGGUGCACUGAUGUGAAGAGCAUGGAGAUGCUGGUGGAACACCAGGCUCAGGACAUCCUCACCUAGUGCCCCGGUGUCCUGCAGACCCUGCCGCACCUUGCAAGGCAAUUCUGUGGCCCCCGAAACCAUCAGCAGAGAUCUGUAUUCACUUGGGAUGGAGUUUAGGAUCCUGCUCGGAGUGGGAACUGUUCUUGCUAUAAAAGCAGAGAACUGUCGCUGGUGGGGGGGUGACUACUUGGAGAAGGCUCCUGUGUGGGGUCUUUUGUAGCCUGCAAGGGGUGGGAAGGGGGGCUCCAGGCCUAGGUGAUGAGAAAGGGCACGAAUGGGAAUGGGGACAGGGUAGUCUCCACCCAGCUCCACCUGAGUGGACUUUGUCCAGUGUGGUCUGAGUGCUGCUCUAAUAAAUGCCUUGGCAUUGUUCUCUUGGUGCUUCUGUUCUUUGCCUUAGCUCCUUAGCCAAUCCUGUGUCU
rnacentral:lncRNA from 1 species